rnacentral:misc_RNA from 1 species
GAUGAAGAACGCAGCGAAAUGCGAUAAGUAAUGUGAAUUGCAGAAUUCAGUGAAUCAUCGAAUCUUUGAACGCAUCUUGCGCUCCUUGGUAUUCUGAGGAGCAUGCCUGUUUGAGUGUCAUUAAAUUCUCAACUACACUGACUUUGAAUUGGUGUGGCUUGGAUUUGGGGGGAAAAUUGUUGUGGGCUUUUUGUAUAGUCUGCUCCCCUGAAAUUGAUUAGCGGUACCUUUGUGGAACUGUCUACAGGUGUGAUAAUUAUCUACAUCUUAGACAUCUGCUGGAAUGCUGCUUUCUAAACCUUACUUGUAUUGACCAUCUUGACCUCAAAUCAGGUAGGACUACCCGCUGAACUUAAGCAUAUCAAUAAGCGGAGGA